rnacentral:rRNA from 1 species
ACUGAACGCCGGCGGAAUGCUUUACACAUGCAAGUCGAACGGUAGAGGGGGCAACCCCUCGAGAGUGGCGAACGGGUGAGUAAUAUAUCGGAACGUGCCCAGUCGUGGGGGAUAACGUAGCGAAAGUUACGCUAAUACCGCAUACGAUCUAAGGAUGAAAGCGGGGGAUCGCAAGACCUCGCGCGAUUGGAGCGGCCGAUAUCAGAUUAGGUAGUUGGUGGGGUAAGGGCUCACCAAGCCAACGAUCUGUAGCUGGUCUGAGAGGACGACCAGCCACACUGGAGCUGAGACACGGUCCAGACUCCUACGGGAGGCAGCAGUGGGGAAUUUUGGACAAUGGACGCAAGUCUGAUCCAGCCAUUCCGCGUGCAGGAUGAAGGCCCUCGGGUUGUAAACUGCUUUUGUACGGAACGAAAAGGUCUCUCUUAAUACGGGGGGCUCAUGACGGUACCGUAAGAAUAAGCACCGGCUAACUACGUGCCAGCCGCCGCCGUAA